rnacentral:rRNA from 1 species
GAUGAACGCUGGCGGCGUGCCUAAUACAUGCAAGUCGAGCGAACAGAUGAGGAGCUUGCUCCUCUGACGUUAGCGGCGGACGGGUGAGUAACACGUGGAUAACCUACCUAUAAGACUGGGAUAACUUCGGGAAACCGGAGCUAAUACCGGAUAAUAUAUUGAACCGCAUGGCUCAAUAGUGAAAGACGGUUUUGCUGUCACUUAUAGAUGGAUCCGCGCCGCAUUAGCUAGUUGGUAAGGUAACGGCUUACCAAGGCAACGAUGCGUAGCCGACCUGAGAGGGUGAUCGGCCACACUGGAACUGAGACACGGUCCAGACUCCUACGGGAGGCAGCAGUAGGGAAUCUUCCGCAAUGGGCGAAAGCUUGACGGAGCAACGCCGCGUGAGUGAUGAAGGUCUUCGGAUCGUAAAACUCUGUUAUUAGGGAAGAACAAAUGUGUAAGUAACUAUGCACGUCUUGACGGUACCUAAUCAGAAAGCCACGGCUAACUACGUG